rnacentral:rRNA from 1 species
ACGAACGCUGGCGGCGUGCUUAACACCUGCAAGUCGUACGGUAAGGCCCUUUCGGGGGUCCACGAGUGGCGAACGGGUGAGUAACACGUGAGUAACCUGCCCACAACUUUGGGAUAACGCUAGGAAACUGGUGCUAAUACUGGAUAUGUGCUCCUGCUGCAUGGUGGGGGUUGGAAAGCUCCGGCGGUUGUGGAUGGACUCGCGGCCUAUCAGCUUGUUGGUGGGGUAGUGGCCUACCAAGGCGGCGACGGGUAGCCGGCCUGAGAGGGUGACCGGCCACAUUGGGACUGAGAUACGGCCCAGACUCCGACGGGAGGCAGCAGUGGGGAAUAUUGCACAAUGGGCGCAAGCCUGAUGCAGCAACGCCGCGUGCGGGAUAACGGCCUUCGGGUUGUAAACCGCUUUCAGCAGGGACGAAGCUUUUUGUGACGGUACCUGCAGAAGAAGCACCGGCUAACUACGUG